rnacentral:lncRNA from 1 species
UUUUACAACCUGGGCCUCAGCAAGAGUGUUGGGCCAGGUUUUUUUAAUUUUUGGGCAGCAGUGUAGUGCCGCCUCCACGUGGCGCUGCCUGGGAUCACUAGUGGCUACUACUGCUAGUGAUGCUAAGAGCACUACAUACAAGAAGAAAAAUGGCAAUACUAACAGUUCAAGCUGAAAUAAAGAUGAAAUGUCAAGUGGAUUGAUACUCAAGACUGAAGCUAGAGAUUUAUAUACUAGUUUUAAUUUUUUGAAAAAUAAUUCUUUUAAAUUUUGAUUGCAUGUGUUUAUGGUGAUUUGAACUGUCA